UGCUACGGAGACUAGCUGUGGUAGCUCAGGAUGGAGCUCCUUGAGGCUAGAACAGCAUUCUGUAUUCAUCUUUGUGCCCCAAAUACGCAGGUAAGAAGUAGGCACUCAAAAAAUGAAUAAAUGUCUACGUAAUACAUGUAACUGUGCUACUUUGUGAUGUGUCGUAUCUCCUUUGCUGGGCAGGGAAUAAAUUUGAGAAAAAGAUAGAUUUAAGAUGUGAUUUUCUUGUGGGUAGAGAUGUGCAUGCAUGUGUGUGUGAGUGAGUGAAUAUAUGUGUGGGAGACACAGUGAUAAAUUUCAGAGGAGGGGCAGAGCCAGGGCAAAGACCCAGAGUAGGUAACAACAAGGUAUGUUCAGAGCUUGACAAGUUCUGUUAGGCUGAGCCUGGGGGUUGUGAGGGAGGAGUCAGAAAUAAGCCUUAUCUGCC
rnacentral:lncRNA from 10 species